UGAGGAAUAUUGGGCAAUGGGCGAAAGCCUGACCCAGCAACGCCGCGUGAUUGAAGAAGGUCUUCGGAUUGUAAAGAUCUGUCCUAUGGGAAGAAACAAAUGACGGUACCAUAGGAGGAAGCCCCGGCUAACUACGUGCCAGCAGCCGCGGUAAUACGUAGGGGGCGAGCGUUGUCCGGAAUUACUGGGCGUAAAGGGUGCGCAGGCGGCGCUUUAAGUCAGAUGUGAAAUACCCGGGCUUAACCUGGGGGGUGCAUCUGAUACUGGAGCGCUUGAGUGCAGGAGAGGAAAGUGGAAUUCCUAGUGUAGCGGUGAAAUGCGUAGAUAUUAGGAGGAACACCAGUGGCGAAGGCGACUUUCUGGACUGUAACUGACGCUGAGGCACGAAAGCGUGGGGAGCAAACA
rnacentral:rRNA from 1 species